GUGAUCCGCCCGCCUUGGCCUCCCAAAAUGCUGGGAUUGCAGGCGUGAGCCACCGUGCCCAGCUGACACUGACAUUUUGUAUUGUUGGUUGCUAGAUUUUUGUUGUUGUUGUGAUCAUUUCUAAAGUAUUCUUGAGCUUUGUUCAGCAAUGCAGUUAAGUUCCUUGGGAACAUUUCGAUCUAUUCAGAGCUUGCUUUUAAAAAUUUCAAAUCAGUGUUUAGUCUAGGGAUAAUUAUUUCCUAUGAAGGAGGCAAGACCCUUCUGAGUAGUCUACCCAUGCCAUAUGAAUUCGAAGAUUUUCCUCUGUGGUUGGUAGGAGCAGUAGCAACCCCCACCCCUGUGUGAGCACGGGGAGCUGCUUCCUCCAAUCUUUUUGGGUGCUGCUUUGCCCAGCCUUGAGUCAUUUCCUUGCCUACAUGCAUUGAUUGUUGCUUUGCUGAGUGCCUGGAGGGGACCCUCUGCACAUCUCCAGAGCUCUCUGCGUAGCUCUCUCCUGUUAUGUCCUGCGAACCUUCCUGCCUUGGCUUCCCUGGACUCGGCUCUGUCUCCUCCACUCAGGGAGUCCAUUGGUCUCAACCUGGGUUCCCCAUCUCUGCACCACAGCCUGGAAACUCACCCGACAGGAGAAGCCUGGGCAAUCUUAGGGCUCUCCUUGUUAGUUUUUCUCCUUUCAGGAAUAUCUGUCCUUUGCUGCCUGGUGUCUCAUGGCCUGAAAACCGUUGCUUCAUACAUUUUUUCAUGUUGUUUUGGUGGUUUGGUUGGGAGGGUACGUCCAAUCUCUGUUACUCCACUUGGCCAGAAGCAUUAGUCUCUGCCUAAUCAUUUAAUCAGGGUGAAAAUGUCAAGAAAAUAACACUAACAUUUACUGAGCACUCCCAACAUGCCGGACGCAGUGCUAAGAACUUCAUUUUUCUUAUCUGUAGAUUCGUCACAUUGAUUUGCAUAAGCUGGUGAUAUUAGGACACCAUUUUCCACAUGAGGUCCCUGAGUGUUGCAAAGGCCACGGAGCCAGUUAGUAGUAAAAUCGCCACUCGAACCCUGGUCAGUGGGCCUCUUGGCCACACCACUGUCCUGCCCUGUUGGUGGGCAGGUGUCAUGCUGCGAUAGGAAGCUCCAGGAGGCUCUUUUCAGGGGCCAUUCCAGGACACCGAGGGCUUUUUUUGAAUGGAAUUUGACAGUACUUUCUGCGGGUCUUCAAAAACAGAGGUGACCCUUCUCAGGAAGCUUAGAGUAAACUUCUGGUGAUAACCUUAAUUUAGUCAUUAACUUUUUACUUCCUUAUCCUGUUGUGUGGUCUUCCAUGGACUUGAAUUUCUCCCAGGGUUGGACGUAUGAAGGGGCCAUAGAGGUCUGGCCACAGUGGAGACCCUCUAACUUUACAUGUGGGGGCCUUUCUCAGGAGCUGGUAGCAGAAGGUCCAACGUGAAAUAGCUUAACCACAGAGAUCUGUUAUCUCAUGUGAGCACAGGUUCUGAGGCAAGGUGGGCUGCAGGCACCAUGUGAUCAAGGCUGUAUCUCCCUUCCCUCCACCCUGCCUCCCCUUGUCCUCAGGCAGCGCCCCUCACCCUUUAGGAUGGCCACCUGCCUGCUGCAAUGAGGGGAGCUUGCUCAUUCACACCUGGUGGGAGAAGGACAGGUGGAGGGAAAGUCCUUCUCACCUCUCUGAUUGGCCGGCCUAGGUCAUGUGCCUGCUCCUGGACCUAUUAGAGUCCCCUGAGGGAGUCUGUGUGCUGAUUGGCUGAAAUAAUCCCUGGCAAGGAGGAUGACGUACUGUGAUUGGCUAAUUGUGCACUUAGCCUCCGAAGUCCACGGGCAGUGCGGAGAAGGGGCCAAUCCUUGUGGUUUUGGGUGCCAAACCCAAAACUGGUUCCUAUAGGGAAGGAGGGAGUGGAGAAGGCAAACGGAAUGGCUGGUGAAGCUGUCAAUCAGGCAGAGGUGGACGGUGCAGCAGGUGGAGAGCCAGGCCUUGUCCUGGGUCCUCCAGCACCUCACUGUGGGCAACGGGCAGUUCCCAGCCCGGGCUCCCUUCCUGCUUCUGCAAACUGAGCUUGCUGCACAAGACAACUGGCAUUUCUCGGUUGCACGCUUGGUGCUGCCUCAGCACGAUGUGAAGGCUGCGCGUGCACAGUCCCGUCCCGGAGCCUCCCGACUUCCCCUGGGGAGGGGAUUACGGUCACUUCAGUUUAGAGAUAAGGAAACAGGCCUAGAGAGGUUAAGAAACUUGCUCCAAGUCAAACAGCUGGUCAGCAACAGAGCCGGGGCUGACAACUGUGUCCCUGGUGCAGGCCAUGUCCCUGGCAUCCCUAAACAAGGACAUCCACCUGGCCGGGACAGGAAGGGCAGCGCCAGGGUCUGGGGUCUCCUCCAUCCCCUCCCUCAGGACCUGCCUAGAGUGGCUGACUGAGAAACCCACAGGAGGAUGCGGCAUGACGGAUGCCUUCAAACUCGCACUGGGCACACACAGGCAAUUCCUCCGUGGAAAGAGAUGAAUUCACAAAGGAGAAAGUGUGUAAAAUAUCAAGAAGACAUUAAGUGGAGGACACGUGAACCCCUGGGCAGCGAGUGCAGGAGGUGGAGGCUGUGCCCCUGGACGCUGCAGCUGGGCUGGAGCCCUCUCCCUGGCACCAUGGAAACAGUAAUAUCAGAAACAACAGAGUCCUGGUUAGCGGCGUGCUCAUGCCAUGUGCCUGUCAGUUCUGCAAGUAUUUGUUGGAUGUGAAGGUUGACGUGAUGGCCACGCUGCCCACAACAGGUCAGCACGUUCCCAGGACUGUCCUGAAAGAUGCAGCGACCACUGCUGCCCGUGCCUCUCAAACUUGUCACCCACGGAUGCCGGGAAAAAUGCACAUAAAAGUAAGAUUAUGUUAUUUUUUGUAAAUAAGUGAUGCAGUAACUCAGAUCUGAUUUGGGCCGUCAGCCCGAUCCGGCAGAGAGAGAGAGAGAUGGCUGCUGAAGCAUUUACGUGUGUUCUCAGGGAACGUUUAUUGUGGAACGCUGGGCUCCAGUAAAACUUUCAUAUAAAUUAUUCAUUAUGGAAUUCAGAUGAAAUGCCAAAAACCCUCCCACUAAG